rnacentral:rRNA from 1 species
CGUUGGUGAACCAGCGGAGGGAUCAUUGCUGGAACGCGCCCCAGGCGCACCCAGAAACCCUUUGUGAACUUAUACCUUACUGUUGCCUCGGCGCUAGCUGGUCCUUCGGGGCCCCUCCCCGGAGGAGCAGGCACGCCGGCGGCCAAGUUAACUCUUGUUUUUACACUGAAACUCUGAGAAAAAAACAUAAAUGAAUCAAAACUUUCAACAACGGAUCUCUUGGUUCUGGCAUCGAUGAAGAACGCAGCGAAAUGCGAUAAGUAAUGUGAAUUGCAGAAUUCAGUGAAUCAUCGAAUCUUUGAACGCACAUUGCGCCCUCUGGUAUUCCGGAGGGCAUGCCUGUUCGAGCGUCAUUUCAACCCUCAAGCCUGGCUUGGUGAUGGGGCACUGCCUGUAAAAGGGCAGGCCCUGAAAUUCAGUGGCGAGCUCGCCAGGACCCCGAGCGCAGUAGUUAAACCCUCGCUCUGGAAGGCCCUGGCGGUGCCCUGCCGUUAAACCCCCAACUUCUGAAAAUUUGACCUCGGAUCAGGUAGGAAUACCCGCUGAA